rnacentral:rRNA from 1 species
CUGCUGCCUCCCGUAGGAGUUUGGACCGUGUCUCAGUUCCAAUGUGGGGGACUUUCCUCUCAGAACCCCUACUGAUCGUCGCCCCGGUGGGCCGUUACCCCGCCGGCAAGCUAAUCAGACGCAUCCCCAUCCUUUACCGGCCGAAGCCUUUGGUCAUGAAAAUAUGCAUCAACAUGACAACAUACGGUAUUAAUCCGCCUUUCGACGGGCUGUCCCAUAGUAAAGGGCAGGUUGGAUACGCGUUACUCACCCGUGCGCCGGUCGCCA